CAUAUUGUGAGCUCGAUGAGUAGGGCGGGACACGUGGUAUCCUGUCUGAAUAUGGGGGGACCAUCCUCCAAGGCUAAAUACUCCUGACUGACCGAUAGUGAACCAGUACCGUGAGGGAAAGGCGAAAAGAACCCCGGCGAGGGGAGUGAAAAAGAACCUGAAACCGUGUACGUACAAGCAGUGGGAGCACGCUUAGGCGUGUGACUGCGUACCUUUUGUAUAAUGGGUCAGCGACUUAUAUUCUGUAGCAAGGUUAACCGAAUAGGGGAGCCGAAGGGAAACCGAGUCUUAACUGGGCGUUAAGUUGCAGGGUAUAGACCCGAAACCCGGUGAUCUAGCCAUGGGCAGGUUGAAGGUUGGGUAACACUAACUGGAGGACCGAACCGACUAAUGUUGAAAAAUUAGCGGAUGACUUGUGGCUGGGGGUGAAAGGCCAAUCAAACCGGGAGAUAGCUGGUUCUCCCCGAAAGCUAUUUAGGUAGCGCCUCGUGAAUUCAUCUCCGGGGGUAGAGCACUGUUUCGGCAAGGGGGUCAUCCCGACUUACCAACCCGAUGCAAACUGCGAAUACCGGAGAAUGUUAUCACGGGAGACACACGGCGGGUGCUAACGUCCGUCGUGAAGAGGGAAACAACCCAGACCGCCAGCUAAGGUCCCAAAGUCAUGGUUAAGUGGGAAACGAUGUGGGAAGGCCCAGACAGCCAGGAUGUUGGCUUAGAAGCAGCCAUCAUUUAAAGAAAGCGUAAUAGCUCACUGGUCGAGUCGGCCUGCGCGGAAGAUGUAACGGGGCUAAACCAUGCACCGAAGCUGCGGCAGCGACGCUGAUGCGUUGUUGGGUAGGGGAGCGUUCUGUAAGCCUGUGAAGGUGUGCUGUGAGGUAUGCUGGAGGUAUCAGAAGUGCGAAUGCUGACAUAAGUAACGAUAAAGCGGGUGAAAAGCCCGCUCGCCGGAAGACCAAGGGUUCCUGUCCAACGUUAAUCGGGGCAGGGUGAGUCGACCCCUAAGGCGAGGCCGAAAGGCGUAGUCGAUGGGAAACAGGUUAAUAUUCCUGUACUUGGUGUUACUGCGAAGGGGGGACGGAGAAGGCUAUGUUGGCCGGGCGACGGUUGUCCCGGUUUAAGCGUGUAGGCUGGUUUUCCAGGCAAAUCCGGAAAACUAAGGCUGAGGCGUGAUGACGAGGCACUACGGUGCUGAAGCAACAAAUGCCCUGCUUCCAGGAAAAGCCUCUAAGCAUCAGGUAACAUCAAAUCGUACCCCAAACCGACACAGGUGGUCAGGUAGAGAAUACCAAGGCGCUUGAGAGAACUCGGGUGAAGGAACUAGGCAAAAUGGUGCCGUAACUUCGGGAGAAGGCACGCUGAUAUGUAGGUGAAGUCCCUCGCGGAUGGAGCUGAAAUCAGUCGAAGAUACCAGCUGGCUGCAACUGUUUAUUAAAAACACAGCACUGUGCAAACACGAAAGUGGACGUAUACGGUGUGACGCCUGCCCGGUGCCGGAAGGUUAAUUGAUGGGGUCAGCGCAAGCGAAGCUCUUGAUCGAAGCCCCGGUAAACGGCGGCCGUAACUAUAACGGUCCUAAGGUAGCGAAAUUCCUUGUCGGGUAAGUUCCGACCUGCACGAAUGGCGUAAUGAUGGCCAGGCUGUCUCCACCCGAGACUCAGUGAAAUUGAACUCGCUGUGAAGAUGCAGUGUACCCGCGGCAAGACGGAAAGACCCCGUGAACCUUUACUAUAGCUUGACACUGAACAUUGAGCCUUGAUGUGUAGGAUAGGUGGGAGGCUUUGAAGUGUGGACGCCAGUCUGCAUGGAGCCGACCUUGAAAUACCACCCUUUAAUGUUUGAUGUUCUAACGUUGACCCGUAAUCCGGGUUGCGGACAGUGUCUGGUGGGUAGUUUGACUGGGGCGGUCUCCUCCUAAAGAGUAACGGAGGAGCACGAAGGUUGGCUAAUCCUGGUCGGACAUCAGGAGGUUAGUGCAAUGGCAUAAGCCAGCUUGACUGCGAGCGUGACGGCGCGAGCAGGUGCGAAAGCAGGUCAUAGUGAUCCGGUGGUUCUGAAUGGAAGGGCCAUCGCUCAACGGAUAAAAGGUACUCCGGGGAUAACAGGCUGAUACCGCCCAAGAGUUCAUAUCGACGGCGGUGUUUGGCACCUCGAUGUCGGCUCAUCACAUCCUGGGGCUGAAGUAGGUCCCAAGGGUAUGGCUGUUCGCCAUUUAAAGUGGUACGCGAGCUGGGUUUAGAACGUCGUGAGACAGUUCGGUCCCUAUCUGCCGUGGGCGCUGGAGAACUGAGGGGGGCUGCUCCUAGUACGAGAGGACCGGAGUGGACGCAUCACUGGUGUUCGGGUUGUCAUGCCAAUGGCACUGCCCGGUAGCUAAAUGCGGAAGAGAUAAGUGCUGAAAGCAUCUAAGCACGAAACUUGCCCCGAGAUGAGUUCUCCCUGACUCCUUGAGAGUCCUGAAGGAACGUUGAAGACGACGACGUUGAUAGGCCGGGUGUGUAAGCGCAGCGAUGCGUUGAGCUAACCGGUACUAAUGAACCGUGAGGCUUAACCUUACAACGCCGAAGGUGUUU
rnacentral:rRNA from 1 species